rnacentral:misc_RNA from 1 species
AUUGUUCACAUAGAAAUAACUCAAGACUCUUCCAAAAAUCCUCUUCCAGGAAGCAGCAACAUAAAGGCAGUGAGCAAAAGCAUAUUAACUGGCUGAUAAAAACUCAUACACUACUAUUUAACAUAUAAACAACCAGGUAUUGCAGGUGCAUGGUCUCUGAAAUUAAUAUUUUAUGAUAGAACUAAGCAUUACCUUUUCCCUCUUUAAUCAAUUUCUAAUGGAAUUGUUUAAAAAAAAAUAGAAAUAACAUUCUUACCACCAUCAUGGCUCGAAUACUUUUAAAGGUGUUGAAAAAAAUUAAAUGAGAACAACAUUUCAUUCAAUGAUGGCUAGUUUUCUG